GGGAGUAUAGCUCUGUGGUAGAGCAUUCGACGGCAGAUCGAGAGGUCCGUCCCCGGUUCAUACCCGGGUGCCCCUU